GACGAACGCUGGCGGUGUGCCUCAUACAUGCAAGUCGAACGAUAAGGUUUCUUCGGAAAUACAUAAGUGGCGGACGGGUGAGUACAACAUAGGAAAUCUGCCCCAGAGAGGGGGACAACAGAGGGAAACUUCUGCUAAUACCCCAUACGAGCUUAGUUGAAAUACUAAUCUUGAAAACUCCGGUGCUCUGGGAUGAGCCUGUGCCUGAUUAGCUUGUUGGUGGUGUAAUGGACUACCAAGGCGACGAUCAGUAGCUGGUUUGAGAGGAUGAUCAGCCACAAUGGGACUGAGACACGGCCCAUACUCC
rnacentral:rRNA from 1 species